rnacentral:rRNA from 1 species
AUUGAACGCUGGCGGCAGGCUUAACACAUGCAAGUCGAACGGUAACAGGAGAAAGCUUGCUUUCUUGCUGACGAGUGGCGGACGGGUGAGUAAUGCUUGGGAAUCUGGCUUAUGGAGGGGGAUAACGACGGGAAACUGUNGCUAAUACCGCGUAGUGUCGAGAGAUGAAAGUGCGGGACCUUCGGGCCGCAUGCCAUAGGAUGAGCCCAAGUGGGAUUAGGUAGUUGGUGGGGUAAAGGCCUACCAAGCCGACGAUCUCUAGCUGGUCUGAGAGGAUGACCAGCCACACCGGGACUGAGACACGGCCCGGACUCCUACGGGAGGCAGCAGUGGGGAAUAUUGCGCAAUGGGGGCAACCCUGACGCAGCCAUGCCGCGUGAAUGAAGAAGGCCUUCGGGUUGUAAAGUUCUUUCGGUAUUGAGGAAGGUUGUUGUGUUAAUAGCACGACAAAUUGACGUUAAAUACAGAAGAAGCACCGGCUAACUCCGUGCCAGCAGCCGCGGUAAUACGGAGGGUGCGAGCGUUAAUCGGAAUAACUGGGCGUAAAGGGCACGCAGGCGGACUUUUAAGUGAGGUGUGAAAUCCCCGGGCUUAACCUGGGAAUUGCAUUUCAGACUGGGAGUCUAGAGUACUUUAGGGAGGGGUAGAAUUCCACGUGUAGCGGUGAAAUGCGUAGAGAUGUGGAGGAAUACCGAAGGCGAAGGCAGCCCCUUGGGAAUGUACUGACGCUCAUGUGCGAAAGCGUGGGGAGCAAANAGG